UAAAAAUAAAUAAACCUAAUAAAAAAAAAAAAACCUAAUCAAAAUCGGCAAACUUUAACUCUGCUUCAAUUUUUUUCAUUCAAACCCUAUAAUCACGGUUAUCCUCUUCAACUCUCCUUCAAUUAUAACUUUAAUAGCACGGUUCAUCACCAAUUCACCACCCAAUCAGGCGAUCAGCAAGAACUCACAAGGAACGCGCCUCCGCUACCCACCAAUACGCAGGUUAGUCAUUGUGAAUAAGGAGCCCAUUGCCGGAGAAGUGGUGCGGUAUGCUCUCAAAACAGAGGGGUGGCAGCGUGUGUAGUUGUGUACAAGAGAGUGCUGAUUUUUGGUUGAGGUUCCUGAUGCAUCUGUUUCUGCUGCUAUUUUUGGUUGCUGCUACUCCACUGCCUUGUGGAUGUUCCUCCUAGUGAUUGAGUGUGGUUGCUGCUGCUGCUCGACUGCAUUGUGGAUAAUUUUUGUUUUAUAUAAUUUCUGCUUAGUUUUCUAAAGUAAAUUUGCUAAGUGGUUGGUGUUUUUGUUUACUGAUUUGUGGAUCUUACUACUACCUAAUAAACAGGUUACUAUUGUCACAGGACUUCGUAUAAAUUCUAUGGUUGAUACACUCUUGUUUUGAGAGAAUCUGAUACUUGGGGA